rnacentral:rRNA from 1 species
UUUAACUGAGCGUUCAGUUACUUGACGUAGACCCGAAACCGGGCGACCUACCCAUGAGCAGGAUGAAGCGAAAGUAAAAUUUCGUGGAGGUCCGAACCCACGAGCGUUGAAAAGCUCGGGGAUGACUUGUGGGUAGCGGUGAAAUUCCAAUCGAGCCCGGAGAUAGCUGGUUCUCCCCGAAAUAGCUUUAGGGCUAGCCUCAAGGUGAGAGAUACGGAGGUAGAGCACUGAAUGUCCUAGGGGGUAUUGCACCUACCGAAGACUAUCAAACUCCGAAUGCCGUCAUCUUAUACUUGGGAGUCAGACUGUGGGUGAUAAGAUUCAUAGUCGAAAGGGCAACAGCCCAGAUCGUCAGCUAAGGUCCCUAAAUGUAAGUUAAGUGGUAAAGGAUGUGGGAUUGCACAGACAACCAGGAUGUUGGCUUAGAAGCAGCCACUCAUUCAAAGAGUGCGUAAUAGCUCACUGGUCGAGUGAUCCUGCGCCGAAGAUUUCCGGGGCUAAAACUUACUACCGAAGCUACGGCAUCAGUAAUGAUGGGUAGGGGAGCUUCCCAUACGGGUUGAAGCAUGACCGUAAGGACAUGUGGACAGUAUGGGAGUGAGAAUGUUGGCAUGAGUAGCGAGAUGUGGGUGAGAAUCCCACAGGCCGUAAACCCAAGGUUUCCAGGGGAAGGUUCGUCCGCCCUGGGUUAGUCGGGACCUAAGCUGAGGCCGAAAGGCGUAGGUGAUGGACAACAGGUUGAUAUUCCUGUACUACCGAUAACCGUUUGAGAGAAGGGAUGACACAGUAGGAUAAGCUAAGCACACUGUUGGUUAUGUGUGCCCAAGCAUUGAGGCAGUCAAAGUAGGCAAAUCCGCUUUGAUAAUGCUGGGAUGUGAUGGGGAGCGAAAUUUAGUAGCGAAGUAGCUGAUUUCACACUGUCAAGAAAAGUCUCUAUCGAGGUUAAAGGUACCCGUACCGCAAACCGACACAGGUGGGUGAGGAGAGUAUCCUAAGGCCAGCGAGAGAACUGUUGUUAAGGAACUCGGCAAAAUGACCCCGUAACUUAGGGAUAAGGGGUGCCACCAUCAGGUGGCCGCAGAGAAUAGGCCCAAGCGACUGUUUACCAAAAACAUAGGUUUCUGCUAAGUCGCAAGACGAUGUAUAGGAGCUGACGCCUGCCCGGUGCUGGAAGGUUAAGGGGAUCUGUUAGAGCAAUCGAAGCAGUGAACUUAAGCCCCAGUAAACGGCGGCCGUAACUAUAACGGUCCUAAGGUAGCGAAAUUCCUUGUCGGGUAAGUUCCGACCCGCACGAAAGGCGUAACGAUUUGGGCACUGUCUCAACAACAGACUCGGUGAAAUUGUAAUUCCGGUGAAGAUGCCGGAUACCUGCGACAGGACGGAAAGACCCCAUGGAGCUUUACUGUAGCUUGACAUUGGGUCUUGGUACUACAUGUACAGGAUAGGUGGGAGGCUUUGAAACCAGGACGCCAGUUUUGGCGGAGCCAUCCUUGGGAUACCACCCUUGUAGUACUGGGACUCUAACCAUAGGCCAUGAAUCUGGUCUUGGGACACUGUCAGGUGGGCAGUUUGACUGGGGCGGUCGCCUCCCAAAAGGUAACGGAGGCGCUCAAAGGUUCUCUCAGUACGGUCGGAAAUCGUACGUAGAGUGUAAAGGCAAAAGAGAGCUUGAUUGCAAGACAUACAGGUCGAGCAAGGAUGAAAAUCGGACUUAGUGAUCCGGUGGUUCUGCGUGGAAGGGCCAUCGCUCAACGGAUAAAAGCUACCCUGGGGAUAACAGGCUUAUCUCCCCCAAGAGUCCACAUCGACGGGGAGGUUUGGCACCUCGAUGUCGGCUCAUCACAUCCUGGGGCUGUAGUAGGUCCCAAGGGUUGGGCUGUUCGCCCAUUAAAGUGGUACGCGAGCUGGGUUCAGAACGUCGUGAGACAGUUCGGUCCCUAUCCGUCGCAGGCGUAGGAAAUUUGAGAAGACCUGUCCUUAG